GAGCUAGUGGUAUAGCGGUGAGCAUAGCUGCCUUCCAAGCAGUUGACUCAGGUUCGAUUCCUGGCCAACACA
rnacentral:tRNA from 2 species